AUUGAACGCUGGCGGCAUGCUUUACACAUGCAAGUCGAACGGUAACAGGCCGCUAGGUGCUGGCGAGAGGCGCACGGGUGAGUAAUACAUCUGGACGUGCCCAGGCGUGUGGGGGAACUCCUCGGGAGAGUAGCCAAUACCCCAUACGCUCUAUGGAUGAAAGCGUGGGACCGCAAGGCCUCGCGCGCUUGGAGCUGCCGAUGUCAGAUUAGAUAGUUGGUGGGGUAAAGGGUCACCAAGCCAACGAUCUGUAGCUGGUCUGAGAGGACGACCAGCCACACUGGGACUGAGACACGGCCCAGACUCCUACGGGAGGCAGCAGUGGGGAAUUUUGGACAAUGGGCGAAAGCCUGAUCCAGCAAUGCCGCGUGCAGGAAGAAGGCCUUCGGGUUGUAAACUGCUUUUGUACGGAACGAAACGGCUCUGGUUAAUACCCGGGGCUAAUGACGGUACCGUAAGAAUAAGCACCGGCUAACUACGUG
rnacentral:rRNA from 1 species